rnacentral:rRNA from 1 species
UACGAAGGGGGCUAGCGUUGCUCGGAAUCACUGGGCGUAAAGGGUGCGUAGGCGGGUUUUAAGUCAGAGGUGAAAUCCUGGAGCUCAACUCCAGAACUGCCUUUGAUACUGAAAGUCUUGAGUAUGGGAGAGGUGAGUGGAACUGCGAGUGUAGAGGUGAAAUUCGUAGAUAUUCGCAAGAACACCAGUGGCGAAGGCGGCUCACUGGCCCAUAACUGACGCUGAGGCACGAAAGCGUGGGGAGCAAACAGGG